rnacentral:rRNA from 1 species
AUGCACGCUGGCGGCGUGCUUAACACAUGCCAGUCGCACGGUGAAGGCGGAGCUUGCUCUGCUGGAUCAGUGGCGAACGGGUGAGUAACACGUGAGCAAUCUGCCCCUGACUCUGGGAUAAGCGCUGGAAACGGCGUCUAAUACUGGAUACGAGCUGCGAAGGCAUCUUCAGCAGCUGGAAAGAAUUUCGGUCAGGGAUGAGCUCGCGGCCUAUCAGCUUGUUGGUGAGGUAAUGGCUCACCAAGGCGUCGACGGGUAGCCGGCCUGAGAGGGUGACCGGCCACACUGGGACUGAGACACGGCCCAGACUCCUACGGGAGGCAGCAGUGGGGAAUAUUGCACAAUGGGCGAAAGCCUGAUGCAGCAACGCCGCGUGAGGGACGACGGCCUUCGGGUUGUAAACCUCUUUUAGCAGGGAAGAAGCGAAAGUGACGGUACCUGCAGAAAAAGCGCCGGCUAACUACGUG